CAGGUUGAUUUCAUGUUGCCGCUGCUGGGCCUGAAGGCGGUGCUUGGCUCGGCGGUGGUGGCAAACACAGCAGCAGCUCAGGAUGAUGAUGAUGGUCCACACCAGCCAGAACCACCAGAGUUCAUAGUAGUAGUUGCAGCACUGAGACUGUCCACAGCAGUGUCCUGUGUCACAGAUGUAGCUUUGAUUGUUGGUACCCACACAGGCUUCCUUAUCCUGCGGGGGUUCAGCCCUGGCUGACAAGGGGCUGGGCAGCGCCUGGAGGAGCAGGAGCGC
rnacentral:lncRNA from 1 species